UGGCUCAGGACGAACGCUGGCGGCGUGCCUAAUACAUGCAAGUCGAACGAACCGCGACUAGGUGCUUGCACUUGGUCAAGGUGAGUGGCGAACGGGUGAGUAACACGUGGGUAACCUACCUCAUAGUGGGGGAUAACAGUCGGAAACGACUGCUAAUACCGCAUAGGACAUGGAAUCACAUGAUUCAGUGAGGAAAGGUGGCGCAAGCUAUCGCUAAGAGAUGGACCCGCGGUGCAUUAGCUAGUUGGUAGGGUAAAGGCCUACCAAGGCGAUGAUGCAUAGCCGACCUGAGAGGGUGAUCGGCCACAUUGGGACUGAGACACGGCCCAAACUCCUACGGGAGGCAGCAGUAGGGAAUCUUCCGCAAUGGACGCAAGUCUGACGGAGCAACGCCGCGUGAGUGAAGAAGGUCUUCGGAUCGUAAAGCUCUGUUGUUAGAGAAGAACAGCGCAUAGAGUAACUGCUAUGCGUGUGACGGUAUCUAACCAGAAAGCCACGGCUAACUACGUGCCAGCAGCCGCGGUAAU
rnacentral:rRNA from 1 species